AUGACAAGGUGGGGAGAUCCUAGUAGGUCCAUCUGGACUGGUCACCGCCUUAGGACCUUGCUGUGGAUGAGUGUUUUGGUGUCUUCCCAAACCUGCUCAGGUUUCCCGUACCCUCACCCCGGAAAACUAUCAUGCACGCAGUCCUGGCUGCAAGAGAGACCGGGGAAGGCUCACCCUCACCCUCCUCGCCUUCCCCGGGCUCUGAUCUCGCCAAGGGCGAGUCGCUCCCGCUCACGGCGAGGUGAGACCGGGCGGGGUAACCGGGCUCCGGCUGCAGGUGGGGAGAGGCCAGGCCGGGCCGGCCGUCCCGCCCCUGGGGCACAGCCCGCCUCGCCCGAUUGUGUCACCCGUGCUCAAAACAAAGUUAGGAAAGUGGUUUCAGCCUUUCCGCGGUCUCGCUUCCAGCCCGGGCAGCGCCGGCCGGGCCAGCCCGAGGGCCCGGCGCCUGCGGCAGGUGAGUCGGGCGGCAUCGCGGCCCGGAGGAGCCGGGGCAGGGACGCGAGGUCCGUGCCCGGCCGGAGCGCUCUCCCGGCGGGGAGGGAGAGAGCCCCGAUGUCCCCAGCCAGCCCCGCUCUGUCGCAAGCCGCGGGGCCCGGCGGGCUCCGGCAGCCGGCACGGAGCGCGCUCUGUCCCCGGGGGGAGCGGCAGGGGCGGGGGCUGCCCUUGACUCUCCCCCCGCUCGCUGCCAGGCUGGAAGGCGGCAGGAAGGUGGCUGGAAGCGGCCCCAGCAGGCUGGUGCAGCCCCCGCAGCGCCGGCUGCCGUGCGAACGCCCUCACGGCGACGGAGCCCGCUCCGCCGCGGGGCCGGGGCUCCGUGGGGAGCCACACGCAGAGCCGGGGCUGGCGUGGGGAGCCAGCUCCGCCGUGGGGAGCGACACUCGGAGCCGGGGCUGGCGUGGGGAGCCAGCUCCGCCGUGGGGAGCGACACUCGGGGCUGCGGCUGCGGGACUCCUCCCACGCGCGGAAUGUUUCCGAAGGGGUGCCCAGCAGUGCCGGCGGCGGGCAGUGGUUGUGCUGCGCUCCCGCCGUGCCUCGUGUAGCUCCGUGCCGAUGCUGUCAGAGAGAAUCCCUGGAUGGCCUGGCCGCCUCAGGAGCUGCGCCGCUGGUUUUCGCUUCCCUGCAGAUACAGAUGAUUGA
rnacentral:lncRNA from 1 species